rnacentral:rRNA from 1 species
UGAGGAACAUGACCUUCGGCGGGGGAUAGCCGGCCCAACGGCCGGGUAAUACCGCGUACGACCACAUGGGGACAUCCCUGGAUGGUGAAAGCAGCAAUGCGCCGAUGGAGUGCCUCGCGGCCUAUCAGCUAGUUGGUGAGGUAAUGGCCCACCAAGGCGACGACGGGUAGCCGGCCUGAGAGGGUGACCGGCCACACUGGGACUGAGACACGGCCCAGACUCCCUACGGGAGGNAGCG